GACGAACGCUGGCGGCGUGCUUAACACAUGCAAGUCGAACGGAAAGGCCCUGCUUUUGUGGGGUGCUCGAGUGGCGAACGGGUGAGUAACACGUGAGUAACCUGCCCUUGACUUUGGGAUAACUUCAGGAAACUGGGGCUAAUACCGGAUAGGAGCUCCUGCUGCAUGGUGGGGGUUGGAAAGUUUCGGCGGUUGGGGAUGGACUCGCGGCUUAUCAGCUUGUUGGUGGGAUAGUGGCUUACCAAGGCUUUGACGGGUAGCCGGCCUGAGAGGGUGACCGGCCAAAAUGGGACUUAGAUACGGCCCAGACUCCUACCGGGGGCAGCAGGGGGGAAUAUUGCACCAUGGGCGGAAGCCUGAUGCAGCAACGCCGCGUGCGGGAAGAAGGCCUUCGGGUUGUAAACCGCUUUCGCCUGUGACGAAGCGUGAGUGACGGUAAUGGGUAAAGAAGCAACGGCUAACUACGUG
rnacentral:rRNA from 1 species